GAUGAACGCUGGCGGCGUGCUUAACACAUGCAAGUCGAACGGAAAGGCCACAGCUUGCUGUGGUGCUCGAGUGGCGAACGGGUGAGUAACACGUGGGUGAUCUGCCCUGUACUUCGGGAUAAGCUUGGGAAACUGGGUCUAAUACCGGAUAGGAAUCACAUGUGGGUGGGUGGUUGGAAAGCUUUUGCGGUGUGGGAUGAGCUCGCGGCCUAUCAGCUUGUUGGUGGGGUAUUGGCCUACCAAGGCGUCGACGGGUAGCCGGCCUGAGAGGGUGUAGGGGAACGUGGGGACUGGGAGAGGGACCGGACGCCAAGGGGGGGCAGCAGGGGGGAAUGUGGCACAACGGGCGCAAGCCGGAGGCGGCAACGCUGGGGGCGGGAUGACGGCUUACGGGGGGAAAACAGCUGUGGCAUGUGACGAGGCGGGAGUGACGGUAAUGGGUAAAGAAGCAACGGCUAACUACGUG
rnacentral:rRNA from 1 species